AUGACACAAGGACAAAAAUCUUUUCCUCUGGCACUUUUUGUCACAGGUGUCCACAAUCUAAUGCUAUUCAAAAACCAGGAGCCUGCCUCAGCAGAUUUUGUAUUGGCUCCCUAUUUUCUAUUCACUAAAUCCAAACUCUCUUGUCUGCUCUUUAAGGAUUUCUGCCAGGGUCCUGUAUCGCCAAGUUCGUUGUUCAUAUUACUCCUCAAUACGGAACGCCUUCAGCCAAGAGAAGAAACCCGAGAUACAGCAUUAACCAGGAGGCUGGAGUCAAUUCAACUGCUUGAGCGCCGAGUGAAACAGACACAUGGCAUUCGAGUGUCACAGAAGAAACCCAGGAAACUGUUCCCAGAAGAGGGAAAAUGGCCUACGGAGGAGCAUGACCUGCUAGAUAAGAAUGGAGGCUGCUUCAGGCAUCUUGGGUCCUCUCCAGAAGGACCUCUGCAUGCAGCCUAG
rnacentral:lncRNA from 1 species